GUGACGAUAGCGUUGAGGUCCCACCUGUUCUCAUUCCGAACACAGAAGUUAAGCUCAAUUGCGCUGAAAGUACUCGGUCGGACACGACCCGGGAGGAUAAGUAGUUGCC
rnacentral:rRNA from 1 species